rnacentral:lncRNA from 9 species
CUCUUUGCACCUCACACUCUGGACACUUUGGCUGAGAUUAGGUUCUCCAGAUUGUCCUCUAACCUGUCUAGCAGCUGCUUGCUCCCACUGUCCAUCCACAGCUCCCAGCAAGCAUGGAGCCCUGGCCAGAGUGGAGAUCACCCCAGGUAGCCGUCUCACAGCGUCCAUCUAUUGAUUCUCCCUGCAUGAGGUGAAGAAGAAACCAUCGGAUCAGUUCUUCUGAUUGCCACAGAAUAUCUUCAGUCUGGAGUUAGUGAACAAAUGAAAACUCCUGGCACUCUUUAUCUGAAGAAAGAGAGGUUAGUUUGAAGGACUAACAUAUAGCUGGUCGUUCUCAGGGCAC